GCGGGCUUGGGUCGUCCGGCCGCGGGGUCAGGGAAGACCAGAGGACCACUAGCCCCAGGAAGCUUCCCACCACCAGCAAACUGCGUGGUGAAUUUGUAACCGAAAGGCCCAGGUGAGAUGUGCAAAUAUCACUGGAUUGGAGGAGCUCACUUGGAAAGCCAGUAUUCCUCCUGAGCUAAUGAAAAGAAAGGCUGUCGUCUUAUGCCAAAAGCAAUACCAACCUUGUUCACGGGCUGAGAUCUAGAGUGUGUAAUUCACGAAGUAUGAAUCUGCUGGGUAAUGUGAUAUGAAAAGCGAAUGCACCAUUUCUUGGUGAUGAUUCAGGUCAGCGUUGGGACCCAGGAAUCUCCUGUUAAUCAGUACCCUGGUGAUUUUGAUCCAGAGACGGGGUCUAUUAUCUGGUCCUGUUGUCAAGGCUGGUCUCAAACUCCUGGCCUCCAGCGAUCCUCCCUUUUUGGCCUCCCAAGAUGCUGGUAUUACAGGCAUGAGCCACCAUGGUCCACCCGGACUCCUUUUCAUAGGAGACAGUUCCCUAGGCAGAGACUGGGCUUGAAACAGGUAACUUACAAGGCAUCCUGUGAUCAUAAGAGAAUAAUUCCAUUUGAAAUCAGCAGCUGAAGUCCACCUGAAUAAUUAAGUCUUUCACUUGUGUUAUUUUCACAGGGGAGACAGUUUUUUAUUCUUAAGAAGGUAGGAAGCUUUAUUUUUACUGUUAUGAGCAUAGCUGGGCAAGUAUGCAAAUGGAAAGUGAUACCUAUCAUCAAAGUAUUGAGGAUGGUCCUUUGAAGGCCCUAGUAUUCUGAGAACAUCCUGCCACCACUACCACCCCCCAACUUUAGUUUUACACAGAGAACUUAAAAUAUGUGUGAAAGAGUAUAUAGUUAUACAGUUGUAUAUUGAUGAAUAGGUAUAUAGUUGUAAAAGUUUAUGUUUCUCUGAGUCUUAAUAACUUUUAAAAGAAACUGCAAGUAAACUAACACAGGAACAGAAAACGAAAUAUUGCAUGUUCUCACUUAUAAGUGGGAGCUAAAUGAUGAGAACACAUGGACACAUAGAGGGGAACAACACACACUGGGGCCUAUUGGAGGGUGGAGGGUGGGAGGAGGGAGAGGAUCAGGAAAAAUAACUAAUGUGGGUACUAGGCUUAAUACCUGGGUGAUGAAAUAAUCUGUACAAACCCCCAUAACACAAGUUUACCUAUGUACCAAACCUGCACAUGUACCCCUGAACUUAAAAGUUUAAAAAAAGUGCAAAUAUACCUUAAAACAUAUGCCCAUUGCAGUAUUUGCUGGGAGGCAGCCUUUGUAGGGUUGACAGAACUCGUUUAGAAAAUGAGGAGCUACAUUCAAAGCUUCAGUCAAGAUAAAUCACGUACCUCUCUGAACCUAGGGCUUUUAUCUGCCAAAUAGUGAUUACAAUACUCAACCUUAUGAUGUUCUCAAAAGGAAUAAUUGAGAUCAAGUACAUAUACAAAUAUAAAGUACAAUUAGUGUAAUGGAACAAGUCUCAGGUGCGUGUGGCUAUAAUUCUUGUUUUAUGAAUGCUGCAGUUCCUCUAAAGAAGAGGGUAGAGACUAGAACUGAAUGAGAUGGACAUAGAGAUGGCCAAGAAAAGCAUCGUCCUCUGCCAAGUCAUGGGGUCAUGUGUGGUGGAUGGUGACAUGGUGUCCUCAGCUCAGAGUCCAGCUGGGGGCUCAGAAGCAAGGUAACUGAAGGGAGAGAAUUAUUUGAGCACCUAGUGUGUGUAAGAUGCUUCACAUUUAUUAUUUCACCUAACCUCUACACAACCUGUUGUGGGUAUUACUGGUCUCAAGCUGGGAUUCAAAGCAGGUUUUUCCAACCUCAGAAUUCUUGCCAGACUGAUUAGCCUUCUGCAUCUGGAACAUAAAUGUUUUCAGGCAGCAUAAUGUGCAAGAGGUCAGAGCCUAAAGCUUUGUUAUUUUUUAAUUUCUCCACCAUGUCAACUCUGUUACAGGGAAGCCCAGCAGAGGGAAUUGUAUCCAUUUUGGGGCUACACUACCCCAAUGCUAUGCUGCAGCCAAGCUGAACUUCUAAGUUUCUAAAUGUAACUCACUUACCUUCAGGCCUUUGUACGGGGAGUUCUUUUUGCCUGAAAUACCUUCUGACAUCUUAACAUUACGCUUAGAUGUCAGUUACAAAAAAGCUUUUUCUAGACUCUCUCACAUGUCCCACUCCACACCCCUAUAUCUCUUCCCACCAAUGUACUAGGGUAGGUAUCCUGCUAGGUACUUCCACUGCACCCUCUACUUUUCUUCCCUAAUGAUUACCACUAUAUUGUAAUUGCUUAAUUUCUUUUUCCUAUACCCAGAUAAAAAUG
rnacentral:lncRNA from 1 species